AGUAGGGAGCCUAAGCAACCACGACGACGAACGGGAGGAAGACGACCGGAAGUAACGUGAACAUCACUGCGCAAGCGCUAACCAAGAACUUCGUCGUCGUCUUGUCGUCGACGACUUGAGAAGGACCUGUUUAACGUCGUCGUGAACUUCCGAAGUUCAAAGCCGUUUUUCUCAUUAAAAGAUGUCAAGUCAAGCGAUGAAAGCGACCAUAAAUCCGAGCUUUGUUUGGAAUGACGACC